rnacentral:rRNA from 1 species
UACGUAGGGUGCAGGCGUUAAUCGGAAUUACUGGGCGUAAAGCGUGCGCAGGCGGUCUUUUAAGUCAGAUGUGAAAUCCCCGGGCUUAACCUGGGAACUGCGUUUGAAACUGGAAGGCUUGAGUGUGGCAGAGGGGGGUGGAAUUCCACGUGUAGCAGUGAAAUGCGUAGAUAUGUGGAGGAACACCGAUGGCGAAGGCAGCCCCCUGGGCUAACACUGACGCUCAGGCACGAAAGCGUGGGGAGCAAACAGG